CUUCUCCGACGCAGACCACGAGCUCUCUCAUCUCAGACGCAGUCCUCGAGCUAUCUCAUCUCUAACGCUUAUCACGGGCUCUCUCAUCUCUGAAGCUUAUCACGAGCUCUCUCAUAUCUGACGGUUAUCACGAGCACUCUUAUCUCCUCCGAUUUGGGUUUCAAGCAUUGUUGAGGAUCUCUCAGGCUUCUCCAUAACAUCUGGAAGCUUUGUGAAAGAUAUAACUCUUUACCUUGUAGCUUGUUGUUGAAAGAGUUUGUGUGAAUCUUUGAAGUGCUCUCUGUUUCCAUAUAGUGAAUGUGUUGGAGUUCGUUGCAAAGAAAGAAAGUCUGCAACUGCCCCAUGGUUUUACAGCAUUACAAGUACUCUUAGUUAUAGGACGAAUUGUUUUAUCCUGGUGAUAAAGAUACAGAAGCUCACGAACUCUUUGGGAGCUAUGUUUCCAUCAUUACUUGGAGUUUUAAGAGCCAAUUGAUUCCCUUCUACAGAAGCAGUAGCAGAAGACGGGUUAAUGGUGAGCUUGAAGAUGAACCUCUCCACAGGAACAUUAUCAUUACUGAAAAAGAUGACUGCUACUCUUUCAACAAGACCCUGUUACAAACAUUGUUCAUACGUCAUUCUAUAAUGAUUAUAGAAACAAAGGCUGAUCUUUGAUGUGGGUUUUCAAUAAAAGCUGUUUUAAAAUAUUACACCAAGAUGAGAGAUUUCUGUUAUUAAAUUAA